rnacentral:ncRNA from 2 species
CUGUGCGUGUGACAGCGGCUUU